rnacentral:hammerhead_ribozyme from 1 species
AUCCAGUGGCUGACGAGUCCCAACUAGGACGAAAUACGCAUCCUGGAU